rnacentral:tRNA from 1 species
GCCUUGGUGGUGAAAUGGCAGACACGCGAGACUCAAAAUCUUGUGCUAAAAAGCGUGGAGGUUCGAAUCCUCUUCAAGGCA